GGGGACGUGGGGACGUGUGGGGGCACGUGGGGAUGUAUGGGGACGUAUGGCGUCAGAUGGGAACAUGGGGACGUAUGGGGGCAUGGGGAUGUAUGGGGACAUAUGGGGUCAGAUGGGGGCACGUGGGGACGUGGGAAUGUAUGGGGACAUGGGGCUGUAUGGGGACAUGGGGAUGUAUGGGGACAUGGGGACGUAUGGGGUCAGAUGGGGACAUGGGGACAUAUGGGGUCAGACGGGGAUGUAUGGGGUCAGAUGGGGACAUGGGGAUGUAUGGGGACAUAUGGGGUCAGAUGGGGACAUAUGGGGACAUAUGGGGUCAGAUGGGGAUGUAUGGGGUCAGAUGGGGACAUGGGGACGUAUGGGGGCAGGUGGGGACAUGGGGACGUAUGGGGGCACAUGGGGACAUAUGGGGGCACAUGGGGAUGUAUGGGGACGUAUGGCGUCAGAUGGGGGCAUGGGGAUGUAUGGGGACGUGGGGACGUAUGGGGGCACGUGGGGAUGUAUGGGGACGUAUGGCAUCAGAUGGGGACGUGGGGACAUAUGGGGUCAGAUGGGGACAUGGGGAUGUAUGGGGGCAUGGGGACAUAUGGGGUCAGAUGGGGACAUGGGACAUAUGGGGUCAGAUGGGGACAUGGGGACGUAUGGGGGCAUGGGGAUGUAUGGGGGCAUGGGGACGUGAGGACAUAUGGGGACAUAUGGGGUCAUGGAGACAAAUGGGGACAUAGAGGUGUAUGGGGAUGUAUGGGGACAUGGAGACAUAUAUGGACAAAUGGGAACAUGGCGAUGUAUGGCGAUGUAUGGGGUCACACAACAUCACAGUGACAGCGACACAAAGUCACAGCGACACGGUGACACAACGACACAACAUUGCAGCGACACAACAACACAACAUCACGGCGACACAACACAACAUCACGGGGACACAGCGACACGGCGACACAACAUUGCAGCGACAUAACAACACAA
ensembl:lncRNA